rnacentral:rRNA from 1 species
GAUGAACGCUGGCGGCGUGCCUAAUACAUGCGAGUCGAGCGAACAGACGAGGAGCUUGCUCCUCUGACGUUAGCGGCGGACGGGUGAGUAACACGUGGAUAACCUACCUAUAAGACUGGGAUAACUUCGGGAAACCGGAGCUAAUACCGGAUAAUAUAUUGAACCGCAUGGUUCAAUAGUGAAAGACGGUUUUGCUGUCACUUAUAGAUGGAUCCGCGCCGCAUUAGCUAGUUGGUAAGGUAACGGCUUACCAAGGCAACGAUGCGUAGCCGACCUGAGAGGGUGAUCGGCCACAUUGGAACUGAGACACGGUCCAGACUCCUACGGGAGGCAGCAGUAGGGAAUCUUCCGCAAUGGGCGAAAGCCUGACGGAGCAACGCCGCGUGAGUGAUGAAGGUCUUCGGAUCGUAAAACUCUGUUAUUAGGGAAGAACAAAUGUGUAAGUAACUAUGCACGUCUUGACGGUACCUAAUCAGAAAGCCACGGCUAACUACGUG